UACGUAGGGGGGCAAGCGUUGUCCGGAAUUAUUGGGCGUAAAGCGCGUGUAGGCGGUCCGGUAAGUCCGCUGUGAAAGUCGGGGGGCUCAACCCUCGAAUGCCGGUGGAUACUGUCGGGCUAGAGUGCGGAAGAGGCGAGUGGAAUCCUGGUGUAGCGGUGAAAUGCGCAGAUAUCAGGAGGAACACCUAUUGCGAAGGCAGCUCGCUGGGACGUAACUGACGCUGAGACGCGAAAGCGUGGGGAGCAAACAGG
rnacentral:rRNA from 1 species